UAGGGAAUCUUCGGCAAUGGGGGCAACCCUGACCGAGCAACGCCGCGUGAGUGAAGAAGGUUUUCGGAUCGUAAAACUCUGUUGUAAGUCAAGAACGAGUGUGAGAGUGGAAAGUUCACACUGUGACGGUAGCUUACCAGAAAGGGACGGCUAACUACGUGCCAGCAGCCGCGGUAAUACGUAGGUCCCGAGCGUUGUCCGGAUUUAUUGGGCGUAAAGCGAGCGCAGGCGGUUUGAUAAGUCUGAAGUUAAAGGCUGUGGCUCAACCAUAGUUCGCUUUGGAAACUGUCAAACUUGAGUGCAGAAGGGGAGAGUGGAAUUCCAUGUGUAGCGGUGAAAUGCGUAGAUAUAUGGAGGAACACCGGUGGCGAAAGCGGCUCUCUGGUCUGUAACUGACGCUGAGGCUCGAAAGCGUGGGGAGCGAACAGGAUUAGAUACCCUGGUAGUCCACGCCGUAAACGAUGAGUGCUAGGUGUUGGAUCCUUUCCGGGAUUCAGUGCCGCAGCUAACGCAUUAAGCACUCCGCCUGGGGAGUACGACCGCAAGGUUG
rnacentral:rRNA from 1 species